UACAGAGGGUGCGAGCGUUAAUCGGAAUUACUGGGCGUAAAGCGCACGUAGGCGGCUUGGCAAGUCGGAUGUGAAAUCCCUCGGCUCAACCAAGGAAGUGCAUCCGAAACUGCCGAGCUUGAGUACUUAAGAGGAUCGCGGAAUUCCCGGUGUAGAGGUGAAAUUCGUAGAUAUCGGGAGGAACACCAGUGGCGAAGGCGGCGAUCUGGGAAGAUACUGACGCUGAGGUGCGAAAGCGUGGGGAGCAAACAGG
rnacentral:rRNA from 1 species